rnacentral:rRNA from 1 species
ACCGAAGCUACGGCAUCAGUAAUGAUGGGUAGGGGAGCUUCCCAUACGGGUUGAAGCAUGACCGUAAGGACAUGUGGACAGUAGGGGAGUGAGAAUGUUGGCAUGAGUAGCGAGAUGUGGGUGAGAAUCCCACAGGCCGUAAACCCAAGGUUUCCAGGGGAAGGUUCGUCCGCCCUGGGUUAGUCGGGACCUAAGCUGAGGCCGAAAGGCG